rnacentral:rRNA from 1 species
UACGUAGGGCGCGAGCGUUGUCCGGAUUUACUGGGCGUAAAGAGCGCGCAGGCGGUCGGUCAAGUCGGGUGUGAAAGCCCCCGGCUCAACUGGGGAGGGUCACGCGAUACUGAUCGACUCGAAGGCAGGAGAGGGUAGUGGAAUUCCCGGUGUAGUGGUGAAAUGCGUAGAUAUCGGGAGGAACACCAGUGGCGAAGGCGACUACCUGGCCUGUUCUUGACGCUGAGGCGCGAAAGCUAGGGGAGCAAACAGG